rnacentral:rRNA from 1 species
GACGAACGCUGGCGGCGUGCUUAACACAUGCAAGUCGAACGGUAAGGCCCUUCGGGGUACACGAGUGGCGAACGGGUGAGUAACACGUGGGUGAUCUGCCCUGCACUUCGGGAUAAACCUGGGAAACUGGGUCUAAUACCGGAUAGGACUCCUGGCUUCAUGGUUGGGGGUGGAAAGCUUUUGCGGUGGGGGAUGGGCCCGCGGCCUAUCAGCUUGUUGGUGGGGUAAUGGCGUACCAAGGCGACGACGGGUAGCCGGCCUGAGAGGGUGACCGGUCACACUGGGACUGAGAUACGGCCAAGACUCCUACGGGAGGCAGCAGUGGGGAAUAUUGAACAAUGGGCGCAAGCCUGAUGCAGCGACGCCGCGUGAGGGAUGACGGCCUUCGGGUUGUAAACCUCUUUCAGCUAUGACGAAGCGCAAGUGACGGUAGUAGCAGAAGAAGGACCGGCCAACUACGUGCCAGCCGCCGCAGUAA